rnacentral:tRNA from 1 species
GUGCAUAUAGCUCAGUUGGAAGAGCAGCCGGCUCUUAACCGACAGGUUCCGGGUUCGAGGCCCGGUGUGCGCA